AGCGAACGCUGGCGGCAGGCCUAACACAUGCAAGUCGAACGAACCUUUCGGGGUUAGUGGCGGACGGGUGAGUAACACGUGGGAACGUGCCUUUAGGUUCGGAAUAACUCAGGGAAACUUGUGCUAAUACCGAAUGUGCCCUUCGGGGGAAAGAUUAAUCGCCUUUAGAGCGGCCCGCGUCUGAUUAGCUAGUUGGUUGAGGUAAUGGCUCACCAAGGCGACGAUCAGUAGCUGGUCUGAGAGGAUGAUCAGCCACAUUGGGACUGAGACACGGCCCAAACUCCUACGGGAGGCAGCAGUGGGGAAUCUUGCUCAAUGGGCGAAAGCCUGACGCAGCCAUGCCGCGUGAAUGAUGAAGGUCUUAGGAUUGUAAAAUUCUUUCACCGGGGACGAUAAUGACGGUACCCGGAGAAGAAGCCCCGGCUAACUUCGUG
rnacentral:rRNA from 1 species